CAGAGGGUCAGAGAGUCACACUGACCUGCAGUACCAGCUGUCCUCUGACUGACAACACAAACUACAUUUGGUACUUGAACAGUCGACCUCUGACCCCGAGAGAGAACCAGAACAAACAUCUGAUCCUAGACCCAGUCAGCAGGGAGGAUGCAGGAAGCUACUCCUGUGCUGUGAAAACCAACAAAGAUAUCAGCUCUGCUCCAAAGACUCUCACUGUCCAAAGUAUCACAGGAACAUGGACACCAGCAGCUGCAGGAGUUUCUGCAGCUCUGCUGCUUUUAAUACUUCUCACUGUCUGCUGGUGGAGGAGAAAAAGGAGCACUUCUAGAUUAUCGCCAACGAGUGAAACAAUGGAAAACUUGGAGCAGGUAAAUUUUGGUCCCCAGCAUGACGACAUCUCAGCUCAACCAGCAGAGCAGGAACUUGACUACAGCGAGAUCAACUUGUCCAAGAACCAAACAGAACAUCCCUACUCCACUGUUCAGUCAUUUCAAGAACAGGAGCAUGUCCCCUACGCUGUUGUCAACUUCAGAGACAACACAACACCUGAACUCAAUGACCAGGCUGUGGACACCUAGAGACUGUACAACACAUCAACCUAAAGAAGAUGAAAUAUAACAACACAUCUGCCUGUACAGGACUUCAAUUGUUCUGUUCAUGAUGUCAGUAUUGCAUUCACUUCUUCUAUUUACUUUUUCUGAUGAGUAUGAACACACUGUGGUCACUCUUGACAGGGUUCUUUCAAACCCUCAUAGGAACUGAAACUAAUACAUUUGAAAUAGUUACCAGCUCUUUAUCUUGAGACAAUCGCUCUCAGGCUCUGUCUCACACCAAAUAAGAGGAAGCCUCAAAAGCAGCUCUUUAUCUAUAUGCAUCUCUGCAAGUCUACAGUCUAUGCAAGUGUCUUUCACACAUUACAAAGUCAUCAAUAUCUCAGGCUUUGCUCAACAUGCCAGCAAAAUUGUUCUAAAGAUCGUAUUAAAGAAAAAACAAAGAGUGGAGCUCAAUUUCCUGUCAAGUCAAAAAUGUCUUCAUCAUAAAUCCAUUGGAGAUUUAAAGGACAGACUUCAUAUUCAUGAACAUGUAACAAAUAUUUUGCAUUAGAAGCAAAAUAAUAAUUUUUACCCUUAAACAUAUUUCAGUCUUUUUUUCUUUGUCUGUGCAGAUCAAACAAACAAACACAAUAAAAUCUAAUAUUUUCAGCUGAACAUGAA
ensembl:lncRNA